rnacentral:rRNA from 1 species
UACCAGCACCCCGAGUGGUCGGGACGAUUAUUGGGCCUAAAGCAUCCGUAGCCGGUUUUACAAGUCCCCCGUUAAAUCCAGCUGCUUAACAGAUGGGCUGCGGAGGAUACUAUAAGACUAGGAGGCAGGAGAGGCAAGCGGUACUCAGUGGGUAGGGGUAAAAUCCGUUGAUCCAGUGAAGACCACCAGUGGCGAAGGCGGCUAUCUGGACGGUUUCUGACGCUAAGACGCGAAAGCGUGGGGAGCAAACAGG